rnacentral:rRNA from 1 species
GAUGAACGCUGGCGGCGUGCCUAAUACAUGCAAGUCGAGCGAACGGACGAGAAGCUUGCUUCUCUGAUGUUAGCGGCGGACGGGUGAGUAACACGUGGAUAACCUACCUAUAAGACUGGGAUAACUUCGGGAAACCGGAGCUAAUACCGGAUAAUAUUUUGAACCGCAUGGUUCAAAAGUGAAAGACGGUCUUGCUGUCACUUAUAGGUGGAUCCGCGCUGCAUUAGCUAGUUGGUAAGGUAACGGCUUACCAAGGCAACGAUGCAUAGCCGACCUGAGAGGGUGAUCGGCCACACUGGAACUGAGACACGGUCCAGACUCCUACGGGAGGCAGCAGUAGGGAAUCUUCCGCAAUGGGCGAAAGCCUGACGGAGCAACGCCGCGUGAGUGAUGAAGGUCUUCGGAUCGUAAAACUCUGUUAUUAGGGAAGAACAUAUGUGUAAGUAACUGUGCACAUCUUGACGGUACCUAAUCAGAAAGCCACGGCCAACUACGUG